UUGCUGGAACGCGCCCCAGGCGCACCCAGAAACCCUUUGUGAACUUAUACCUUACUGUUGCCUCGGCGCUAGCUGGUCCCUCGGGGCCCCUCACCCUCGGGUGUUGAGACAGCCCGUCGGCGGCCAACCUAACUCUUGUUUUUUACACUGAAACUCUGAGCACAAAACAUAAAUGAAUCAAAACUUUCAACAACGGAUCUCUUGGUUCUGGCAUCGAUGAAGAACGCAGCGAAAUGCGAUAAGUAAUGUGAAUUGCAGAAUUCAGUGAAUCAUCGAAUCUUUGAACGCACAUUGCGCCCUCUGGUAUUCCGGAGGGCAUGCCUGUUCGAGCGUCAUUUCAACCCUCAAGCCUGGCUUGGUGAUGGGGCACUGCUUCUUACCCAAGAAGCAGGCCCUGAAAUUCAGUGGCGAGCUCGCCAGGACCCCGAGCGCAGUAGUUAAACCCUCGCUCUGGAAGGCCCUGGCGGUGCCCUGCCGUUAAACCCCCAACUUCUGAAAAUUUGACCUCGGAUCAGGUAGGAAUACCCGCUGAACUUAAGCAUAUCAAUAAGCGGAGGAAAAGAAACCAACAGGGAUUGCCCUAGUAACGGCGAGUGAAGCGGCAACAGCUCAAAUUUGAAAUCUGGCCUCGGCCCGAGUUGUAAUUUGCAGAGGAUGCUUCUGGCGCGGUGCCUUCCGAGUUCCCUGGAACGGGACGCCACAGAGGGUGAGAGCCCCGUAUGGUCGGACACCAAGCCUGUGUGAAGCUCCUUCGACGAGUCGAGUAGUUUGGGAAUGCUGCUCUAAAUGGGAGGUAAAUCUCUUCUAAAGCUAAAUACCGGCCAGAGACCGAUAGCGCACAAGUAGAGUGAUCGAAAGAUGAAAAGCACCUUGAAAAGGGGGUUAAAUAGUACGUGAAAUUGUUGAAAGGGAAGCACUUAUGACCAGACUUGGGCCGGGCGGCUCAUCAGGGGUUCUCCCCUGUGCACUCCGCCCGGCACAGGCCAGCAUCGGUUCUCGUGGGGGGAUAAGACCGUCAGGAACGUAGCACCCUCCGGGGUGUGUUAUAGCCUGGCGGACGAUACCCCCGUGGGGACCGA
rnacentral:misc_RNA from 1 species